AGCUCAUUUUACAUUUUACCUCACUAAGGAUAAGCUUAGUGAGGCUGUUAAAUAGGAAGUAUUUUGUCUAAAUUAGUUACGUAAGCUUGAAAUUAGCUAUCGACCUAGAACUUGUUAUUAAAUAGUUUUAAUAUUUAGAAAAAUAACUAUACUUAAUUCUACUUAAAACGGGGAUAAGCACGAAAAACUAUUGAUCUGGUCUAUUUAUGCUAGAAUGAGUAUUAGAUAUACCCAAUUUAACAGGUUAGAUUAAAUCAAGUGUACCUGCACCAAUAAAUAUAAAUUUUUUUGGAAAAUAAAAAUAAGGAACUCGGCAAAUUUUAGCUCCGCCUGUUUAUCAAAAACAUGGCUCUCUGAAUCUCUUGUAUAGAGAGUCGAACCUGCCCAGUGAAAUUUUAACGGCCGCGGUACUCUGACCGUGCAAAGGUAGCAUAAUCAUUUGCCUUAUAAUUGAAGGCUUGUAUGAAUGGUUUGACGGGAGCACUACUGUCUCUUUUUUACUAAGCAGAAUUUAACUUUUAGGUGAAGAGGCCUAAAUAUAAUUGAUAGACAAGAAGACCCUGUCGAGCUUAAAAAAAGAAUUAGAACCAAACUAUAGUAUUUAAAUUAACUACUAAUUAACUUUUUUGGUUGGGGCGACCAAGGAACAAAUAAAGCUUCCUUUCUUUAAUUAACCAAUAAGUAAUGAUCCAGUAAACUGAUUAAAAGAAUUAGUUACCGCAGGGAUAACAGCAUAAUCUUUCCUAAGAGACCUAAUCGAAGGAGGGGGUUGUGACCUCGAUGUUGGACUAGAGUAUCCUAAAGAUGCAGAAAUCU
rnacentral:rRNA from 1 species